rfam:Schistosoma haematobium scaffold1622_1, whole genome shotgun sequence.
AUUCAGCUGACGAGUCCCAAAUAGGACGAAACGCGCGUCCUCGAU